GUGUAUGUGUGUAACAUUCACAUGAUGGUUGAGAUAUAUGUGUGGAAUGAUUAUGUGUGUUGGUUGAAGUAUAUGUGUGUAGUAUUAGUGUGAUGGUUGGUGAUUAUGUUGUUGAAGUUGAUGAUAUCCAAGAAGGGAUCUUUGUAUAUUUGUGGAAACUAUGGUGGUGUGUGAUGUAUAAAUAUAUGAAAUGGGUGAUUGAAUACUUGUAAUCUUGAUGAAUCCACCUAUGCCUAAGAAGUGCAUGUAAGGUGUUUGUGAAAAUACNNN
rnacentral:lncRNA from 1 species